rnacentral:rRNA from 1 species
UCGCACCUACCGAUUGGAUGGUCCGGUGAAGCCUCGGGAUUGUGACUAGUGCCUUCAUUGGGGAUUGGUCGCGAGAACUUGUCUAAACCUUAUCAUUUAGAGGAAGGUG